CCUACGGGUGGCAGCAGUGGGGAAUAUUGGGCAAUGGGCGCAAGCCUGACCCAGCAACGCCGCGUGAAGGAAGACGGCUUUCGGGUUGUAAACUUCUUUUUUCAGGGACGAAGCAAGUGCCGGUACCUGAGGAAUAAGCCACGCCUAACUACGUGCCAGCGGCCGCGGUAAUCCGUAGGUGGCAAGCGUUAUCCGGAUUUACUGGGUGUAAAGGGCGUGUAGGCGGGAAAGCAAGUCAGAUGUGAAAAUCAUGGGCUCAACCGGUGGCCUGCAGUUGAAACUGUUUUUCUUGAGUACAGGAGAGGCAGACGGAAUUCGUAGUGUAGCGGUGAAAUGCGUAGAUAUUAGGAGGAACACCGGUGGCGAAGGCGGUCUGCUGGACAGCAACUGACGCUGAGGCGCGAAAGCGUGGGUAGCAAACAGGAUUAGAUACCCUUGUAGUC
rnacentral:rRNA from 1 species